AUGAACGCUAGCGGGAGGCCUAACACAUGCAAGCCGAGCGGUAGAGUCUCUUCGGAGACUUGAGAGCGGCGCACGGGUGCGGAACACGUGUGCAACCUGCCUUUAUCUGGAAGAUAGCCCACCGAAAGGUGGAUUAAUAUUCCAUAAUAUAUUUAUUGGCAUCAGUUAAUAUUGAAAGCUCCGGCGGAUAAAGAUGGGCACGCGCAAGAUUAGAUAGUUGGUGAGGUAACGGCUCACCAAGUCUGCGAUCUUUAGGGGGCCUGAGAGGGUGAUCCCCCACACUGGUACUGAGACACGGACCAGAAUCCUACGGGAGGCAGCAGUGAGGAAUAUUGGACAAUGGGUGCAAGCCUGAUCCAGCCAUCCCGCGUGAAGGAUUAAGGUCCUAUGGAUUGUAAACUUCUUUUCUACAGGGAUAAACCUAUUUACGUGUAAAUAGCUGAAGGUACUGUAGGAAUAAGCACCGGCUAACUCCGUGCCAGCCGCCGCGGUAAGAC
rnacentral:rRNA from 1 species